rnacentral:rRNA from 1 species
CCUACGGGGGGCAGCAGUGGGGGAUAUUGCACAAUGGGGGGAACCCUGAUGCAGCGACGCCGCGUGGGUGAAGGAGCGUUUCGGCGCGUAAAGCCCUAUCGGCAGGGAAGAAGGAGGACGGUACCUGACUAAGAAGCCCCGGCUAACUACGUGCCAGCAGCCGCGGUAAUACGUAGGGGGCAAGCGUUAUCCGGAUUUACUGGGUGUAAAGGGGGCGCAGACGGCAGCGCAAGCCAGGAGUGAAAGCCCGGGGCUCAACCCCGGCGAGCCGUUGAAACUGGCUGUCUUGAGAUGUCGAGAGGUAUGCGGAAUGCGCAGUGUAGCGGUGAAAUGCUUAGAUAUUGCGCAGAACUCCGAUUGCGAAGGCAGCAUACCGGCGGCGAUCUGACGCUGAGGCACGAAAGCGUGGGUAUCGAACAGGAUUAGAUACCCGUGUAGUC